AGUGAAAGUCUGCAGGAAGCAAACAGCUGGGAGACCAGAAAAAAUGGAUGAUGAAGACCCCAUUAUGGGUACCGUCUCCUGGGAUUCCAGGAAGAAGCCCUGGCCAGACAGCCCUGGAGACCAAGCAUCUCCUGCUGGGGAUACCCCUCCCUUGGGAGAACAACAGGAGCUCCAUUAUGCCUCCCUCAGCUUUUCUGAGAUGAAGUCGAGGGAGCCUAAGGACCAGGAGGCCCCAAGCACCACGGAGUACUCAGAGGUCAAGACAAGCAAGUGAGGACUCCCCCAGAGCUCAGUCCUGGCUGGAGGAACCACAGCCUGUCUAGGGGGAAGGACAAGUCAGGGACCACUUGCUGAAGCAUGAAGAGCCCUUGUGACAAUGUUAACAUUAACUGAUGUGUAAGUGCUCCAAGCAGAGCAGAAAGAAGACAGAUGAUGGAAUUGGAGAAGUGGGCUCAAACCUAGGCCCUGGCACUGUCAUCAAGCAAUUCACUGCCUCCCUCUGUGCCUCAGUUUCCCAUUCUGUAAAUCAGAGAUCAUGCAUGUUACCUCAAAGGUUGUUGUGACCAUUAAAGAAAGCAACACAUGGAAA